GGUACAUAUGGGAGGCCCAUGGUGGCCCAGGCCCAGUACUGUUUAUGUAACCCUAAUGUUGUGGUAUAUAUAUAUGUGUGUGUGGUGGUCCUGUGUGAACCAACCUGCAGAUCGACCAAAACCAAGACUGAAUCCAUUCCCUCUCGUGUUACAACAUGGUAUCAGAGCUAGGUUGUAGCCGCUCGCCUCGCCGUCUCCUGAGGUGGCUGUGGGCAAAGCCCACGGCUGCUAGGGAAGGAGGCGGCGGGGACGUGAAGGAAGGAGGCGGAUCCGGGCGGAGCUGCGCGGUCGGCGGAUCUGGGCGCGGUGUCCAGGAGCUGCUCUCGGCGUGGAUUCGCGGCGGGGGCUGGCUGGGAGCUGUGCGCGGGUGGCGGCGGCGAGCUGCACGCGCGAGCAAGGCGCGGGCAUGAUGAGCGCGUGUGCGGACUGGAUCUGGCGAGCUCGGCGCGGUGGGCGCGUGCAGAAGGCCGGGAGAUGCGGAUCUGGGGCUUGGAGUUCGAGCUCGUGCUCGUGCUCUAGGCGGCGCUGCGAGGAGGCGCUGGGAUGCACAGCACGCGCUGGCCAUGGCUGUGGGUCGCUGGGCAGGCGGCGUGGCGCUGGCGAGCGGCUGCGCGCGCGGCAAGUGAGGCAUGGAGAGGCUGCGUGCGGGCAGAAGAGGGAAAGAAAAGGAAGAAGAGGAGCUGAGGUGCGCCUGCGCGCGCGCCAAGUGCUGCUGUUGUCCUGGUGCUGCCUGCUGCUGGAAGUAAAAAAAAAGAGAGGAGUUGAGCUGCUGGUGCAGAAGAGGAGGUGAGGUUGUGCGCGGCGAGAAGGAAACAGAGGAGGAGCGGCCAAGGAGGAAGAGGAGAAGGAGGCUGACUCUGUUGUUGCUGCUGUUGUGGCUGCAUCUGUAGCUGCUGUGGUUGCGUCCAAGUGUAGCGGCGCGUGAGGAAGAGGAGGUGCUGUUGGGCGCUGUGGUCCUGGCGGCUGCUGUGUUCUGCUGCUGCUGCUGACAAAAGAGUAAGAAGGAAGGUUGUGUGCUGCUGCUGCAGGAGACGGAGAGGAGGCAUAGGAGAAAGAGAAGGGCAGCUGCUUGUGGCUCCUGUGUGCUAGUUGCUGCUGCUGUUUGGAAGAGGAGUUGGUCGCAGCUGCUGGUGCUGCUGAGGGGGAGAAGGAUGAGAUGGGGGAGAAGGAUGAGAUGUUGCGCUGGCUGUGGUGUUGUUGCUCCUCCGUGCUUGGUGCAAGGAGCAGAGGGGGAGAGAUGCCUUGGUUCGCUGCAAGGACCAAGGAGAGAGAUGCUGCUACUGAUGGCAGCCAGAUGGAUUUUCUUUUAGGGGGAGAGAGGGAGAUGUGGUGAUGAUGGAGAUGAUGAGGCUGCGGCUUGAGUGUGGUUGGUGAUGAGGAAGUGUCCGGGGGAGAGGCCGUCGUGCCUGAGGUGAGAAUGGUUGAGGCCUGACCAUGGGAGAGGCCGUCGUGCCUGAGGAGAAGAUGGCUGGGGCAGGAGUUGCCCGGAGAGGCCGUCGUGCCUGUGGAGAAGAUGGAAGAGGUCAGUGGCCGAAGAGGCCGUCGUGCCUGUGGAGAAGACGGGCUGAGGACAUUGAGGCGAGUGUGGAUGGUUCUACGGAACCUGUGUAGUGUGGCAGCCGGGUUGUUGAGGAGGUGCAUGGUGCUCAGUUGGCCAUCACAAGUUGGAGGUGGUGAGAAGAUGAUGGAGAGGGCAAUGGCUCUCAUGUAUCGUAGUUGGUUAAGUUUUCUGUUCAUUAGAGUGGUCGUAGUUUGAGUUUAUGUAGUUGUUGCAAGAUGGUCAUGGGUGUUUACCCAUGAUCAUCUUGAGGGGGAGUGUUGGUACAUAUGGGAGGCCCAUGGUGGCCCAGGCCCAGUACUGUUUAUGUAACCCUAAUGUUGUGGUAUAUAUAUAUGUGUGUGUGGUGGUCCUGUGUGAACCAACCUGCAGAUCGACCAAAACCAAGACUGAAUCCAUUCCCUCUCGUGUUACAACAUAUAAUAUCUAGAUUACAAAAUGGCAUUGCAACAUAUCAUUAUUAACUUGUUAAUUUCAUCAAAAUUCCUUUCCAUGAAUAACAGCAAAAAUACUGUUAGUGUUUUGUUAAACAAACAUGAAAAUUGUGAGAUAUUUCGUAUGAUUUCCACUUUUACAGAUCAGCAAACAGUAUAUAAUAUCAAAAUGAGUAAAACAUAAAAAAAUGUGUAUAGUUGACUCCGAAGUGAAGAAUUUCUUUCCCUUAUGAAGAGCAACACAGAAUGGUAACCAGUUGGGAUCUAAAGACAAAUCACAACAAGAUUUAAAAUAUUAUUAGCUAGCACGAGUAACAGAAAGGAAGGGCAAGAUAAUGCAAAGACUCACUUCAAACAUAACCUAAUAU
rnacentral:lncRNA from 1 species